AUACGGAGGGGGCUAGCGUUGUUCGGAAUUACUGGGCGUAAAGCGCGCGUAGGCGGAUUGAUCAGUCAGGGGUGAAAUCCCGGAGCUUAACUCCGGAACUGCCUUUGAUACUGUCAAUCUUGAGUUCGAGAGAGGUGAGUGGAAUUCCUAGUGUAGAGGUGAAAUUCGUAGAUAUUAGGAAGAACACCAGUGGCGAAGGCGGCUCACUGGCUCGAUACUGACGCUCAGGUGCGAAAGCGUGGGGAGCAAACAGGAUUAGAAACCCUUGUAGUCC
rnacentral:rRNA from 1 species